UACAGGGGGUGCAAACGUUGCUCGGAAUUAUUGGGCGUAAAGCGCGCGUAGGCGGUCUUGUAAGUCGGAUGUGAAAGCCCUUGGCUUAACCGAGGAAGUGCAUUCGAAACUGCAGGGCUAGAGUCCUGGAGAGGAAGGUGGAAUGCUUGGUGUAGAGGUGAAAUUCGUAGAUAUCAAGCGGAACACCGGUGGCGAAGGCGGCCUUCUGGACAGUGACUGACGCUGAGACGCGAAAGCGUGGGGAGCAAACAGG
rnacentral:rRNA from 1 species